UCUACCCAUUGAUUUUAAGGCAAGCGAAUUUUCGUUCAGAGAAGAAGCAUUUAGAUAUAACCGAGGAAUCUUGGCACCCCUACCUGGGAAAUUUAUUUUCCUUCCUUUUUUUCUGCAGAACAAGUGCAAUAGAGGGUUUCACAUUCAUCAACAUGAAUGAUCCUUCCUUGAUUAAUAUCCCGUUCUAUCAGGCAUUUAAUGGAAAGAAAUGGGAUAAGUUCAACAGCGAAAAGGUGGGCAUCACUUGCUUAUGCUCGCAUACAAUGAAAUGCUGCUUUUAUCGGUCAUUUCCAGAACUCAAGCUUGAUGAAUGAGGAUAGGCGGUACCGGCCAAUCCUCUUCAACACCGAUGGUCCCAAUGCAGGUCAAGACUCCCAAGGAAUGGCCUGCACUAUGGUGGUGGGAAAGUUUGCGAGGCUGAAAUGGACUCCAAAUAGAUCGGAUAAAACUGUAAAUACACUUUUUGAUGUACAAUCUACUAUCAUCACUACAAGAACAAAAAACAUAUGUAUAUUAAGUUCCCGAAUACCAAUUAAACCAAUGAGAACGCAGAAACGUGCAAAACACAA